rnacentral:tRNA from 1 species
GCGCCGGUAGCUCAGGGGAUAGAGCAUCGGAUUUCUAAUCCGACGGUCGGGGGUUCGAAUCCUCCCCGGCGCGCCA